UACGAACCGUGCGACCGUUGUUCGGAAUCACUGGGCUUAAAGGGCGCGUAGGCGGGCUGUCAAGUCUGGGGUGAAAUGCCGCGGCUCAACCGUGGAACUGCCUCAGAUACUGACGGCCUCGAGGAAGGUAGGGGCAUGCGGAACUGUAGGUGGAGCGGUGAAAUGCGUUGAUAUCUACAGGAACUCCGGUGGCGAAAGCGGCGUGCUGGACCUUUUCUGACGCUGAGGCGCGAAAGCUAGGGGAGCAAACGGG
rnacentral:rRNA from 1 species